UUAAGCGACUAAGCGUACACGGUGGAUGCCCUGGCAGUCAGAGGCGAUGAAGGGCGUGCUAAUCUGCGAUAAGCGCCGGUAAGGUGAUAUGAACCGUUAUAACCGGCGAUACCCGAAUGGGGAAACCCAGUGUGAUUCGUCACACUAUCAUUAACUGAAUCCAUAGGUUAAUGAGGCGAACCGGGGGAACUGAAACAUCUAAGUACCCCGAGGAAAAGAAAUCAACCGAGAUUCCCCCAGUAGCGGCGAGCGAACGGGGAGGAGCCCAGAGCCUGAAUCAGCAUGUGUGUUAGUGGAAGCGUCUGGAAAGGCGCGCGAUACAGGGUGACAGCCCCGUACACAAAAGCGCAUGUGCUGUGAGCUCGAUGAGUAGGGCGGGACACGUGGUAUCCUGUCUGAAUAUGGGGGGACCAUCCUCCAAGGCUAAAUACUCCUGACUGACCGAUAGUGAACCAGUACCGUGAGGGAAAGGCGAAAAGAACCCCGGCGAGGGGAGUGAAAAAGAACCUGAAACCGUGUACGUACAAGCAGUGGGAGCACNGGGCGUUAAGUUGCAGGGUAUAGACCCGAAACCCGGUGAUCUAGCCAUGGGCAGGUUGAAGGUUGGGUAACACUAACUGGAGGACCGAACCGACUAAUGUUGAAAAAUUAGCGGAUGACCUGUGGCUGGGGGUGAAAGGCCAAUCAAACCGGGAGAUAGCUGGUUCUCCCCGAAAGCUAUUUAGGUAGCGCCUCGUGAAUUCAUCUCCGGGGGUAGAGCACUGUUUCGGCUAGGGGGCCAUCCCGGCUUACCAACCCGAUGCAAACUGCGAAUACCGGAGAAUGUUAUCACGGGAGACACACGGCGGGUGCUAACGUCCGUCGUGAAGAGGGAAACAACCCAGACCGCCAGCUAAGGUCCCAAAGUCAUGGUUAAGUGGGAAACGAUGUGGGAAGGCCCAGACAGCCAGGAUGUUGGCUUAGAAGCAGCCAUCAUUUAAAGAAAGCGUAAUAGCUCACUGGUCGAGUCGGCCUGCGCGGAAGAUGUAACGGGGCUAAACCAUGCACCGAAGCUGCGGCAGCGAACGUAUCACCCAAGACAACUUUACGGAGUUGACGAUUGACGGAGCGAAGCGACGUCAAAGCGUUCAUUAAAGUCGAGUUGGCUUAGGGAUACGUUCGUUGGGUAGGGGAGCGUUCUGUAAGCCUGUGAAGGUGUGUCGUGAGGCAUGCUGGAGGUAUCAGAAGUGCGAAUGCUGACAUAAGUAACGAUAAAGCGGGUGAAAAGCCCGCUCGCCGGAAGACCAAGGGUUCCUGUCCAACGUUAAUCGGGGCAGGGUGAGUCGACCCCUAAGGCGAGGCCGAAAGGCGUAGUCGAUGGGAAACGGGUUAAUAUUCCCGUACUUGGUGUUACUGCGAAGGGGGGACGGAGAAGGCUAUGUUGGCCGGGCGACGGUUGUCCCGGUUUAAGCGUGUAGGUGUGUGUUCCAGGUAAAUCCGGUUCACUUUAACACUGAGGCGUGACGACGAGGCACUACGGUGCUGAAGCAACAAAUGCCCUGCUUCCAGGAAAAGCCUCUAAGCAUCAGGUAACACGAAAUCGUACCCCAAACCGACACAGGUGGUCAGGUAGAGAAUACCAAGGCGCUUGAGAGAACUCGGGUGAAGGAACUAGGCAAAAUGGUGCCGUAACUUCGGGAGAAGGCACGCUGACACGUAGGUGAAGUGAUUUACUCAUGGAGCUGAAGUCAGUCGAAGAUACCAGCUGGCUGCAACUGUUUAUUAAAAACACAGCACUGUGCAAACACGAAAGUGGACGUAUACGGUGUGACGCCUGCCCGGUGCCGGAAGGUUAAUUGAUGGGGUCAGCGUAAGCGAAGCUCCUGAUCGAAGCCCCGGUAAACGGCGGCCGUAACUAUAACGGUCCUAAGGUAGCGAAAUUCCUUGUCGGGUAAGUUCCGACCUGCACGAAUGGCGUAAUGAUGGCCAGGCUGUCUCCACCCGAGACUCAGUGAAAUUGAACUCGCUGUGAAGAUGCAGUGUACCCGCGGCAAGACGGAAAGACCCCGUGAACCUUUACUAUAGCUUGACACUGAACAUUGAGCCUUGAUGUGUAGGAUAGGUGGGAGGCUUUGAAGUGUGGACGCCAGUCUGCAUGGAGCCGACCUUGAAAUACCACCCUUUAAUGUUUGAUGUUCUAACGUGGACCCGUAAUCCGGGUUGCGGACAGUGUCUGGUGGGUAGUUUGACUGGGGCGGUCUCCUCCUAAAGAGUAACGGAGGAGCACGAAGGUUGGCUAAUCCUGGUCGGACAUCAGGAGGUUAGUGCAAUGGCAUAAGCCAGCUUGACUGCGAGCGUGACGGCGCGAGCAGGUGCGAAAGCAGGUCAUAGUGAUCCGGUGGUUCUGAAUGGAAGGGCCAUCGCUCAACGGAUAAAAGGUACUCCGGGGAUAACAGGCUGAUACCGCCCAAGAGUUCAUAUCGACGGCGGUGUUUGGCACCUCGAUGUCGGCUCAUCACAUCCUGGGGCUGAAGUAGGUCCCAAGGGUAUGGCUGUUCGCCAUUUAAAGUGGUACGCGAGCUGGGUUUAGAACGUCGUGAGACAGUUCGGUCCCUAUCUGCCGUGGGCGCUGGAGAACUGAGGGGGGCUGCUCCUAGUACGAGAGGACCGGAGUGGACGCAUCACUGGUGUUCGGGUUGUCAUGCCAAUGGCACUGCCCGGUAGCUAAAUGCGGAAGAGAUAAGUGCUGAAAGCAUCUAAGCACGAAACUUGCCCCGAGAUGAGUUCUCCCUGAGACUUAGAGUCUCCUGAAGGAACGUUGAAGACGACGACGUUGAUAGGCCGGGUGUGUAAGCGCAGCGAUGCGUUGAGCUAACCGGUACUAAUGAACCGUGAGGCUUAACCUU
rnacentral:rRNA from 1 species